GACGUAGGUGGCGAACGUUAUCCGGAAUUAUUGGGCGUAAAGGGUGCGUAGAUGGCUUGACAAGUUAACAGUGGGAAAUCGAGGCUCAACCUCGUGGAAACUGAUAAUACUGUCUGGCUCGAGUGCAGGAGAGGUUAACGGAACUCCACGUGGAGCGGUGAAAUGCGUAGAGAUGUGGAGGAACACCAGUGGCGAAGGCGGCUUUCUGGUCUGUAACUGACGCUGAGGCGCGAAAGCGUGGGGAGCAAACAGG
rnacentral:rRNA from 1 species